CGUGCUUAACACAUGCAAGUCGAACGGAAAGGCCUCUUCGGAGGUACUCGAGUGGCGAACGGGUGAGUAACACGUGGGUGAUCUGCCCUGCACUCUGGGAUAAGCCUGGGAAACUGGGUCUAAUACCGGAUAGGACCAUGCUUUAGUGUGUGUGGUGGAAAGUUUUUUCGGUGUAGGAUGAGCCCGCGGCCUAUCAGCUUGUUGGUGGGGUAAUGGCCUACCAAGGCGGCGACGGGUAGCCGGACUGAGAGGUUGGUCGGCCACAUUGGGACUGAGAUACGGCCCAGACUCCUACGGGAGGCAGCAGUGGGGAAUAUUGCACAAUGGGCGCAAGCCUGAUGCAGCGACGCCGCGUGGGGGAUGACGGCCUUCGGGUUGUAAACUCCUUUCGCCAGGGACGAAGCGUUUUGUGACGGUACCUGGAGAAGAAGCACCGGCUAACUACGUGCCAGCAGCCGCRGUAAUACGUAGGGUGCAAGCGUUGNCCGGAAUUACUGGGCGUAAAGAGCUCGUA
rnacentral:rRNA from 1 species